rnacentral:rRNA from 1 species
AACGAACGCUGGCGGCAUGCCUAACACAUGCAAGUCGAACGAGACCUUCGGGUCUAGUGGCGCACGGGUGCGUAACGCGUGGGAACCUGCCCUUAGGUUCGGAAUAACUCCCCGACAGGGGUGCUAAUACCGGAUAAUGUCUUCGGACCAAAGAUUUAUCGCCUUUGGAUGGGCCCGCGUUGGAUUAGCUAGUUGGUAGGGUAAAAGCCUACCAAGGCGACGAUCCAUAGCUGGUCUGAGAGGAUGAUCAGCCACACUGGGACUGAGACAUGGCCCAGACUCCUACGGGAGGCAGCAGUGGGGAAUAUUGGACAAUGGGCGAAAGCCUGAUCCAGCAAUGCCGCGUGAGUGAUGAAGGCCUUAGGGUUGUAAAGCUCUUUUACCCGGGAUGAUAAUGACAGUACCGGGAGAAUAAGCUCCGGCUAACUCCGUG